AACGAACGCUGGCGGCAGGCUUAACACAUGCAAGUCGAACGAUGUAGCAAUACAUAGUGGCGCACGGGUGAAUAACGCGUGGGAAUAUACCUUAUAGUGGGGAAUAACUUUGGGAAACUAAAGCUAAUACCGCAUACGCCCGAGAGGGGAAAGAUUUAUCGCUAUAAGAUUAGCCCGCGUGAGAUUAGGUAGUUGGUGGGGUAAUGGCCUACCAAGCCUACGAUCUCUAGCUGGUCUGAGAGGAUGAUCAGCCACACUGGAACUGAGACACGGUCCAGACUCCUACGGGAGGCAGCAGUGGGGAAUAUUGGGCAAUGGAGGAAACUCUGACCCAGCCAUGCCGCGUGAAUGAUGAAGGCCUUAGGGUUGUAAAGUUCUUUCGCCGAUGAAGAUAAUGACGGUAGUCGGAGAAGGAGCCCCGGCUAACUUCGUGCCAGCAGCCGCCGUAA
rnacentral:rRNA from 1 species